rnacentral:lncRNA from 1 species
UUUAGUUGGUCUAUAGAUGGACGGCUUAAAAGAAUAACUCCAUAGCAGAAAAAAUAACAAAUAAAAAAAACGGAUGAAGGAGGAUACACAUUGGUCAACUACCUCAUCUAAUACCCCAGAAGCUCUUGAUCUCAUGAACCCAAAUUCAGCAUCUGCAAAUUGACAGUUUAUUGUUGGGUACUAAUGAGAGGAAUCCACUUCAACAAAGAUGCUACCAAAGGAAAUUAGUGCACAGAUUAAUUGGAUUAGCUGGAAAGAGAAAAUUGGAAUUAUAGAAAAAAUGUCAGGACCCACCCCGAAUUUUAUCUUAAAACCUGGAGUAAGUCCUACGGGGACCACUCCCAAGAAAAGAUUUAUCGAAAAAUUUGCAAAACCUCCAUUGAAAAUGGACAACCCUAACCUGAAAAAUUUCAAAUUUACACUCCUAUUAAAACACAUCCAAUCUUAACUCUUGGAGCCAUCCGCUUCCCGCAAACACAACCACCACAAUAUCAACAAUACAUCAACAUCCAAACAUCACACAAAUAUCCAGCUAAAACAGUAAACCUUAUCCUUCAGAUACUCUAAACAAAAAUCAACAGACCAAGCACACCACCGAAAUAAUUUACAUUAAUCCCAAAGUAUUCAGAGCUACUAGAUACUAGCGGAAGCAAGAAAACACGGGUAGGUUAAACAAGUAACCUACUGGUGAAAAGUGGUGGAAAUGCGGGUGACUAUGCCUCGCCUCCUAUUAGAUCCAACCCGAACUCUGCAGACUGUGCAUUUUAAAACGAAGGGCCCAGGGGUAAACAUUUGAAAACGUUAGAGUGAGUGGACAAAGAUAAAUUAAUAAAUAAAAUAUUUAUGUUUCCCCAAAUCAAUUUCCAAGGAAAAAUCGAAUGCAUGCUGCAAAGGAUAAAACUUUUAUCUCAUAAAAUAUCGAGCAUGUCAGACUCUAAAAUAUAUGUAUGUAUUUACACAUGUCCAUACUCCCUAUAUAAAUUCAUGGGUCUAUAUAGGGCUACUACGCUCGCGUCUAACGCUCACGUCACCCCUUAAUGCGGUGCUACACUACGCCAUUAAGGUGGAUAAACGAGUGUAUAAAUAUGUGUCCAUACCCCCUAUAUGAAUUAAACACUCAUAUAGGGCUACUACGCUCACGUCAUACCAUAAUGCAGCUAUAUGCUACGCCAUUAAGGUGGACAUACACAUAUGGCUAGCUAGCAUUUAUAUACAUACUCUCCUCAUAAAUACAUAUUUAUAUUCACCGAAAAUCCCAUUUUCGGUAACUCUCUAAGAGAAAUAAAAUCGUCAAAAUUAAAAUGACGUCAAAUGUUCCAACAAAACUAAUUAUUCAUCCAUGAACCAUAGCAUGCAUAUUAUUUAAAACAAAAGUCCACUCACAAAUUAGGCCUAAGCCUGAUGUAGAUCUGAGGCCUCUUCUGCUCGAGCCUCCUCACGUCCUGUUCCAAAUAUAUAACUAAAUUACCAACAAAAAAUCCAAUACUUACUCAAAAAUAGGCAAAAUAAAUAUGAGCUGUAACCACGCUCAUUCUCGCCUAACUUCGAUAUUCCUAAACCGAAACAAUCCAAACUUUAAUACCAAAAUCGGCAGCCGUAACACAACCUCCCACAGAUUUAACGACUUUAAUCUUACGGCCGGAUUCUACAUUAAUUAACCGCCAAAAAUACCAAACUUCGGAAAUUCACAAACCUAAUCAAAACUCCUCCAAAAAUUCCAUAAUUCACAUCAAUAAACUCCUCUUAAUAUUCCACAUUUAAAACCAUCAAAAUCUCCCAAAUAGCGACGGCCGGAGGCCGACUCCGGCGACCUCCAAUGAUACGAAUUACCUAGGUGUUACUACUAAUAGCGGAAUUAUUAAUAGCACUAAGUCACACAGGUAACGUAGGUCGAAGAAAAUAUAUUCCUCUCUUAUUAUUGUGCAAAAGAGUACAAUGAUUAUUGUCUAAUGCCUUCUCUCACAAUAACACUCUAGCUCUCUGAUUCGCUCUCUUCUAAACAGAUGUUGUUUCUGUUUCACUCUGGUGUCUAGAACUAAAUUAGGCACCUCUAUUUAUAGAGUCUAACUCUAUAAAUUCUUAUCUAACUUGGAAACUACUCAUUAACUAAGUUAGACAACUAUUCCUUUUCAAGCUAGAAAGCUAUGUACUUAACUAACUUGGAGAAGGAAUCACUAAUUCCUAAAAGCUAAAGGAUACAACUGUAUCAUGGCUCCCCCUUUUAGGAACUUAAACUCCCGUUUAAGUUAAAACUGGAGAUUAGGAAACUCAAGAGUUCCCUUCUCUUUGCUGAACCAUUUAGCCUUGCUUGGAACCUGACAUGCAUGCCCAAUGCGAAACACUGCUCGUUCCCCUCGACGUGUCAUAGCCACUUGACGCUCCAAAAUACAAUCUGUCGGCAACAGAUCCUCUUUAAGGCGCUCUUUACUCCGUCUUAACCAUACUAAGUCGCUAAUACCAAAGUUACAAGGUCUGAUCUUGUACUUUGCUUGUGACUUCUUCAAUUUUGUCUUCUCAACAUCUUGACUUGAGUGCCCUUCAUGUGGACAUGUCAACAAGACAAAUUUCCUGCAAGCAUUGACUAAUCUUUUAGCCUGAGUCGCUGCUACCAAGCUUGUCUUUGGUGGGAGGGACGCCGCCCGAAUAACGAAUCGUUGUCCGUCUUUCGUAAAUGUGUACUUCUGAGCCUUCCUCUCGUAGAUAGCAUCUCUAUCCCAUAAGUAAGGAUUUCCCAGAAUCACUUGACAAACAUCCAAUGGCACCACAUCGCAUGUCACUUCGUCGAUGUAAGAUUCAUGAAGAGUAAACUUGAAUGUGCAUUGACUGGUACUACUUAGUCCCGUGUCCUUCUGAAUCCAUCCUAAUGGAUAUGGCUUCGGAUGUUUGACCGUUUGAAGACCUAACUUUUGAACCAAAGCUUCAGAGAUAAGGUUCUUCUGACUUCCCGGAUCCACAAUGGCAUCAACUAAACUGGUCUUCACCUGCAGCUUUACAACAAAAAGCUGCUCCCUGCGGUUCUCGUCGUCGUUCCCUAACUGUGUUCCUGCCAUAAGGUUGAGCUUCGCAUUUAGUUCUGUCAUUCCUGGUACUUCUUUUGCCUCGUUUGUGAUUAAUGUUGUCUUCUUCCUCUCCUCCUUAUGCCGUAACACACUUGGUUUAAGGUGAGGAAACUUCACCCAACACUUAUCUGCCACGUGUCUUGUUCCUUUGCAGUGAAUGCAAACCAAACAUUCUUUCCCAUCUGACUCACCAUUCUCAUGCUCCUCCUUUUUGACAUAGGAAUCAUUGGACUUACCCACAGUCUGUUUUCCAUCUCCCUUGGUUUCGUUCCUCUUGAACUUCAUCUCAAUGGCGAUGGCUUUUUCACUAGCUCCUUCAACGGAUUGUACCGUGAACAAACUCAACUCCCUUUGGAUGUACUCAUGCAGUCCUGCUUUGUACUUCGUAAAUACCGAAUACUCCGUCAAGGAUAUAUCUAGAAUCGUAGCUUGAUUCUGGAAUUCGGUAGUGUAAUCCUGCACGGGCUGAUUGGUUUUCUGACGCAAGUUAUGCCACUUGUGCCAACGUUCCUCCAGAAACCCUACUGGAUAGAACUUCUUUCUAAGCAAUUCUUUGAAUUGCUUCCACGACACUACCUCCUCAUCACUAUUCCUUCGGUAGGACUUCCACCAAGUUAAAGCAUGAGAUGAUAGUUUCAGAGUCGCACAGGUGAUCUUCUCUUGCGAUGUAAAACGAUGGAACGUAAAAUAUGUGUCAAGCCGCUCAAUCCAGUCGUCCAACUUGUCAACAUUGACGCUGCCAUCGUACAUCGGAACUUCAAUCUUGAAAUCAAUCUUUAAGUUUCGAAAAGAACUCCUUCCUUCUUGUUGCGAGGUUUUGCUGGCAGUGUCAAACUCGUCAUCUGAUCCUGUCUUUGCUUGUUCUUCUUGCGACUCCGAAUUCGUUUCCUUCGGCUUCUCCGGUGAUUCCUUCAAUAGCAACUGUUUGACAAGACCGAUCAAUUCUGCAAUUGCAGUGUUUGACGCAGCCAUCUGCUUCUCCAACGCAGCAAGUCUUUCUUUCUCUGGUGUUUCAUCACCCAUCUUCUUUCCUCUUGAUCUUGUGGUAUUUUCCAAAGACACAAGAGAUUUUCCUAGCUUUCUGUAAAGUGAACGAGUUAGGACCAUACACCACAAGACUCCCCACGGAUACGGUUAGCUCUUAUUACCAACUUGAUACGAAUUACCUAGGUGUUACUACUAAUAGCGGAAUUAUUAAUAGCACUAAGUCACACAGGUAACGUAGGUCGAAGAAAAUAUAUUCCUCUCUUAUUAUUGUGCAAAAGGGUACAAUGAUUAUUGUCUAAUGCCUUCUCUCACAAUAAACUACCAGAAUACAGCCCCUGUUUUGGCCUGCAGUCUUUUAAUGGUGUCCCACCUGGCAUAUAGAAAGAAUGUCUUACAUACAACGUUGUCAAAACGAAAGCCACCAAAAGAACACUAAUGGAACUUGCCUUUUUAUUUGGUACCUGUAUCUGAAUUUGUUAUGCAGCUACAACUACCUAUGCAGUAGCAAACCCUUUAGGUACCAGAGAAGGAGAACCCCCUGCAUCAGCCUACCAAAAUGUACAUUGAUUAAGGACUGUCAAACCUAUAUUUGUUUGUUGAUUAUUUUCUAUUCAAUAAUGCAGCUAAUACCAAAGAUAGUGGUCUACAAAAACUAACAUGAACUGUAUUAUCUAUGGAGAUCAUAUCAAGCAAUGGAGUGUAAUACCAGUCAACACUAUAUGAGAACCCAUAAGACUUUCUCUAUCUCUGAAUGGAGAUUCUCCUUUCUCUGCGCAAGUUAUAUACAAACCAAAGAAGUAAAAAGAAUCAGCAAUGACAUUUGUAAAUUCAGAUUAAAGAAAAUAGUGCAUUUGUCAGCAACUUAGCAUACCUUG